AUGAGGUGCUUGCACCUUAUCUUAGCGGCGGACGGGUGAGUAAUGCUUAGGAAUCUGCCUAUUAGUGGGGGACAACAUUCCGAAAGGAAUGCUAAUACCGCAUACGCCCUACGGGGGAAAGCAGGGGAUCUUCGGACCUUGCGCUAAUAGAUGAGCCUAAGUCGGAUUAGCUAGUUGGUGGGGUAAAGGCCUACCAAGGCGACGAUCUGUAGCGGGUCUGAGAGGAUGAUCCGCCACACUGGGACUGAGACACGGCCCAGACUCCUACGGGAGGCAGCAGUGGGGAAUAUUGGACAAUGGGCGGAAGCCUGAUCCAGCCAUGCCGCGUGUGUGAAGAAGGCCUUUUGGUUGUAAAGCACUUUAAGCGAGGAGGAGGCUACUUAGAUUAAUACUCUAGGAUAGUGGACGUUACUCGCAGAAUAAGCACCGGCUAACUCUGUGCCAGCAGCCGCGGUAAUACAGAGGGUGCGAGCGUUAAUCGGAUUUACUGGGCGUAAAGCGUGCGUAGGCGGCUGAUUAAGUCGGAUGUGAAAUCCCUGAGCUUAACUUAGGAAUUGCAUUCGAUACUGGUCAGCUAGAGUAUGGGAGAGGAUGGUAGAAUUCCAGGUGUAGCGGUGAAAUGCGUAGAGAUCUGGAGGAAUACCGAUGGCGAAGGCAGCCAUCUGGCCUAAUACUGACGCUGAGGUACGAAAGCAUGGGGAGCAAACAGGAUUAGAUACCCUGGUAGUCCAUGCCGUAAACGAUGUCUACUAGCCGUUGGGGCCUUUGAGGCUUUAGUGGCGCAGCUAACGCGAUAAGUAGACCGCCUGGGGAGUACGGUCGCAAGACUAAAACUCAAAUGAAUUGACGGGGGCCCGCACAAGCGGUGGAGCAUGUGGUUUAAUUCGAUGCAACGCGAAGAACCUUACCUGGCCUUGACAUAGUAAGAACUUUCCAGAGAUGGAUUGGUGCCUUCGGGAACUUACAUACAGGUGCUGCAUGGCUGUCGUCAGCUCGUGUCGUGAGAUGUUGGGUUAAGUCCCGCAACGAGCGCAACCCUUUUCCUUAUUUGCCAGCGAGUAAUGUCGGGAACUUUAAGGAUACUGCCAGUGACAAACUGGAGGAAGGCGGGGACGACGUCAAGUCAUCAUGGCCCUUACGGCCAGGGCUACACACGUGCUACAAUGGUCGGUACAAAGGGUUGCUACCUAGCGAUAGGAUGCUAAUCUCAAAAAGCCGAUCGUAGUCCGGAUUGGAGUCUGCAACUCGACUCCAUGAAGUCGGAAUCGCUAGUAAUCGCGGAUCAGA
rnacentral:rRNA from 1 species